rnacentral:rRNA from 1 species
AAACUAUGAUCACUCGCUGUGGCAAUACAUCGUCAGCGGCUGAGCGAAAGCAUUAAGUGAUCCACCGGGGGAUUACGAUCGCAAGAUUGAAACUCAAAGGAAUUGACGGGGGCCCGCACAAGCGGAGGAACAUGUGGUUUAAUUCGAUGAUACGCGAGGAACCUUACCUGGGCUUAAAUGCAGAUCGACGUUCCGGGAAACCGGAAUUCCUUCGGGCGAACUGCAAGGUGCUGCAUGGCUGUCGUCAGCUCGUGCCGUGAGGUGUCGGGUUAAGUCCCAUAACGAGCGCAACCCUUACCGUUAGUUGCCAGCGGGUAAUGCCGGGGACUCUAACGAAACUGCCGGUGUAAACCGUGAGGAAGGUGGGGAUGACGUCAAGUCAGCACGGCCCUUACGUCCAGGGCUACGCACGUGUUACAAUGGUCGGUACAAAGGGCAGCUACCAGGCAACUGGAUGCUAAUCUCGAAAACCGAUCUCAGUUCGGAUUGAAGUCUGCAACUCGACUUCAUGAAGCUGGAUUCGCUAGUAAUCGCGCAUCAGCCAUGGCGCGGUGAAUACGUUCCCGGGCCUUGUACACACCGCCCGUCAAGCCAUGGAAGCUUGGGGUACCUGAAGUCCGUAACCGCAAGGAUCGGCCUAGGGUAAAACAAGUAACUGGGGCUAAGACGUAACAAGGUAACCAAGGGCGAA